UCCAGACUCCUACGGGAGGCAGCAGUGGGGAAUAUUGGGCAAUGGGCGAAAGCCUGACCCAGCAACGCCGCGUGAAGGAAGAAGGCUUUCGGGUUGUAAACUUCUUUUGACAGGGAAGAGCAGAAGACGGUACCUGCCGAAUAAGCCACGGCUAACUCCGUGCCAGCAGCCGCGGUAAUACGGAGGAUGCGAGCGUUAUCCGGAUUUAUUGGGUUUAAAGGGUGCGCAGGCGGAUUUUUAAGUCAGCGGUCAAAUCGUGGGGCUCAACCCCAUCCAGCCGUUGAAACUGGGGAUCUAGAGUGUGCGAGAGGUAUGCGGAAUGCGUGGUGUAGCGGUGAAAUGCAUAGAUAUCACGCAGAACCCCGAUUGCGAAGGCAGCAUACCGGUGCACAACUGACGCUCAGGCACGAAAGCGUGGGUAUCGAACAGGAUUAGAUACCCCAGUAAA
rnacentral:rRNA from 1 species